CCACCUUUUACUUAUUCAGCAAGAUCAGGGCCCAGCUCAUGGUCAAACAUGCCAUGACCAUGCAACCCUACCUGACCACAAAGUGUAACACUGCCAAUGACUUCAUGGCAACGUGGCAAAGAUCUUGGAGCUUGUGGUUCCUCUGAUGGAGCAUCCCAGUGAGACUUACCUUGCCACCAUCGAAGAAGACCUCAUGAAGCUCAUCAUCAAAUAUGGCAUGACUGUGGUCCAACACUGUGUGAGCUGUCUCAGAG